AGGGUUUGAUCCUGGGCUCAGGAUGAACGCUGGCGGUGCGCCUAAUGCAUGCAAGUCGAGCGACGCACGCCUCGUCCGUAAGGACAGGGCAUGACGGAGCGGCGAACGGGUGAGUAACACGUGAGCAACCUGCCCCACAGAUCGGGAUAGCCCAGGGAAACCUGGAUUAAUACCGGAUAUCCUCCUUGGACCACAUGGUCCGUUGAGGAAAUGCCUUUGUGCUGUGGGAUGGGCUCGCGACUUAUCAGUUAGUUGGUGGGGUAACGGCCUACCAAGACAAUGACGAGUAGCUGGUCUGAGAGGACGAUCAGCCACACUGGGACUGAGACACGGCCCAGACUCCUACGGGAGGCAGCAGCAGGGAAUCUUGCGCAAUGGACGAAAGUCUGACGCANCGACACCGCGUGGGGGAUGAA
rnacentral:rRNA from 1 species